GCCAAAUGUCGCAUUGGUA
rnacentral:siRNA from 1 species